CCAUUGGGUACUUGAACCAAUUGUUCCAGGCUCGCCUGGUUGCUCCGAGCUUCUCCGAUGAGUCGUGCGGAGACGCAAGUUAUGAUGUGAGACCUGUGUGAUCAUCCAUCACUGCUUGGACGUGAGAGGAAAACUCUACAGCGCCUCCUUUCGUUCUUCAUUACUUUUCAGCCGCCCAGUAUGUACAGUAGGAGUGUGCGUUCCUGAGAGCAGACAGUCUGAAGUAGCCUGACGUAGAAAGCCACACCGAGCAACAGCAGUCCCAUCAGGGUGGCUUUUGUAGCAAAAUCUGCCACCGACCACAUCAACUGGAGUCUCCUCACUCAACUUUGCAAGAAUUGACCCGAUCACUGAACUUCUUGCAACCCAGUGAUUUGAAACAUCCAUCUGCUGCUAAGGAAAACCAAGCACGAAUACCACUGAAAGUAACGCUGGCUAUUCUGCAAAAUGGUCAUGAAAAUCAGCUCUUACUUCUCCAAUUGUGAAAAUCCAACGCCACCCUGUAAUCAGGCCCCCACCUGCACUCUGGUCUGGUCCUAGCGGCAUCCAGGCACAGGGGCUGAUUAUGCAGGCAGCUGUCAGCCUUCUCAGUGGACGAUAUUGCGACUUCUUUAGGCAGCAAAGACAGCUCCUGGAUAUUGGAGAGCAUUAAUACUUUCUGCACAUCCACUGGUAUGUAUGAACCCCCUCACCCACCGCCCCCACAACCCUUACACCUAUUUCUCUGCCUUACCCCCGCUCAAUCGAUGGUAAGUUAUUUAGCAGAUAAAAGAGUGUGAUAAAUCUAGCAGCACAUAUCAGAGAGACAGAAAUUGUGUAUAUCAUCUAUAGUGUGUGUGUGCGACAGGAAAGCAAAGUUGUGCACAGCAGUGUCAAUGGCUUAAGCAUAUGUGUCUGUAGAUAUAUAGAGUUAUUUGAGAAUGUGUGUGUUUACUGACAAUCCAACUUGACUAUAGCCUGACAAAAGUGUUUGGCACAUAUGCGCUGCUGUUUUGUCAAAACGAUUGUGAAAGAGAUACUGAUAGAGUGUGUGACCUUGAGCUUAUCGCCUUCGCUUUGUGCAGACUUUGUGCAGGAUUGUUGCGCCUAUUGUAAAUUCUUAAUUUGAUUCCAUUUGUUGUUAAGUGACUGAAGUGAGCCAAUUCAGCUGAAAAGGUAAAAAUGUCUCAGCCUUAAGAGAAGAAGACCUCCUGCUAAUGGAAAGUCCAAGUGCUGCUUAUAAUAAUAAAAGACUGUGACGAUGGGAGAAAAGGUGGGACAGUGAUGGAAGAAUUCCAACUGCAGAGGAGCGAAGGAUACGUUGUUGAUUUGAAAUUACAAGAGCGAGGACAUGGAAAAAAUGAUUUGAAUACUUUUAUAACUCAAAGCAAAUGUUGAUUUGUCUGAGCAGAGGUGGAGACAUUGUGGUGAAUUCAAACCUGACUGGGGAAAAAAGUAUUUCAAAUCCUUCGAGAGUUUGUAGGGUCAAAGGGUAACAACUGGUAAAUGUCACAGACCAUCUGAUACACACUGUACGUACAAAAAAAGUACAUUAGGUAACCUUUUUAUCGUCCUGCUGGGGGCUAGUGAAGGGUGAGGAAGGCAAGGCAAGGCGUAGAGGACCCACAUGCAGGGAAGGAAGGAGGCAAGGCAGGAGUAGAGGAAUCUCAAAAAGUAUUUAAUUUGCAAAAACAACUUAAAGGAACAACCAAAAUACUCAACGUUACAAAGUAUGACUUAAAUAAACUUAAACUAAAAACUAUGAAAAAUACAAUGAACAACUAAGCAACAAGCAAACCACAACAUGGAUGGACAAUGGACCAACAAGAACUCAACAAAAACAGGGAGUUAAAUACACAGAGCAGACAGCGAGAAACACCUUAACAGGAAACGAGUAGCUGGAGGGAGAUGAUUGGUCAACACACGGGAGGAGGGCAAACAAUAACAGGUGGACACAACCGAUAAAAUCAGCUCACAUUGAUCGUGUCACUAUCCUGUUGGGAGAAUAGGACCUGCAAGUGAAACCCAGCUUUCUGACACUGGGCGGAGUUGCACAUUUUAUUGUAGGUACAGUGUUCUUAUUUUUUUUACUUUGUAAACAUAAUACAGUGUUCCCUCAUUCAGGGGGAUUACGUUCCUAAACCCCACACCACCUCCCCCACGAAUGACAAAAGUCCACAAAUAAUCGAUGGAGUAUCUAUGUAUGUACCAUAUUUCUGCAACCAUAAGGUGCACUUAAAUGUCUUGAAUUUUUGCCAAGAUGGACAGAACAACCCUAAGUGCACAACAAGUUCCCAAAAAGAAUUAUGUGACUAGACACCUGGACACAUGAGUUACAUUGUUAGGUUGCAUGCUGCCAUGUGUUGUAGCUUGUAUCAAAGCUACCAUAUGAUGGUGCUCACGAGGCAGUGAGGAACAAUUGCAUUUUUACAUUUUUCUAAGGAGGUCGUUAGUACCAUAAAGCAUACUGGGAGCACCGCAAAACAUGCUGGGAG